rnacentral:rRNA from 1 species
AACGAACGCUGGCGGCGUGGAUAAGACAUGCAAGUCGAACGGGAUAGAGUGGUAGCAAUAUCAAUCUGUUCAGUGGCGAACGGGUGCGUAACACGUGGGUCACAUUCCGGGAAGUGAGAAAUAGCCCAGGGAAACUUGGAUUAAUAUCUCAUGUGGUCGCAAGACUAAAGGCGCAAGCCGCUUCCUGAUUGGCCCGCGGCCUAUCAGCUUGUUGGUGGGGUGANGGCCUACCAAGGCGACGACGGGUAGCCGGCCUGAGAGGGCGACCGGCCACACUGGGACUGAGACACGGCCCAGACUCCUACGGGAGGCAGCAGUGGGGAAUCUUGCGCAAUGGGCGAAAGCCUGACGCAGCGACGCCGCGUGAGGGAUGACGGCCU